rnacentral:rRNA from 1 species
UGGGGAAUAUUGCACAAUGGGCGAAAGCCUGAUGCAGCAACGCCGCGUGAGUGAUGAAGGCCUUCGGGUUGUAAAGCUCUGUCUUUUGGGACGAUAAUGACGGUACCAAAGGAGGAAGCCACGGCUAACUACGUGCCAGCAGCCGCGGUAAUACGUAGGUGGCAAGCGUUGUCCGGAUUUACUGGGCGUAAAGGAUGCGUAGGCGGAUUUUUAAGUGAGAUGUGAAAUACCCGGGCUUAACUUGGGUGCUGCAUUUCAAACUGGGAAUCUAGAGUGCGGGAGAGGAGAAUGGAAUUCCUAGUGUAGCGGUGAAAUGCGUAGAGAUUAGGAAGAACACCAGUGGCGAAGGCGAUUCUCUGGACCGUAACUGACGCUGAGGCAUGAAAGCGUGGGUAGCAAACAGGAUUAGAUACCCUGGUAGUCCACGCCGUAAACGAUGAGUACUAGGUGUAGGAGGUAUCGACCCCUUCUGUGCCGCAGUUAACACAAUAAGUACUCCGCCUGGGAAGUACGAUCGCAAGAUUAAAACUUAAAUGAAUUGACGGGGUCAUAGCUUUUUCC